rnacentral:rRNA from 1 species
ACGGAAGGCAGCAGUGGGGAAUAUUGCACGAUGGGCGGAAGCCUGAUGCAGCGAUGCCGCGUGAGGGAAGAAGGUUUUCGGAUUGUAAACCUCUGUCCUCAGGGACGAUAAUGACGGUACCUGAGGAGGAAGCUCCGGCUAACUACGUGCCAGCAGCCGCGGUAAUACGUAGGGAGCGAGCGUUGUCCGGAAUUACUGGGUGUAAAGGGUGCGUAGGCGGGACGGCAAGUCAGAUGUGAAAUGUAUGGGCUCAACCCAUAACCUGCAUUUGAAACUGUUGUUCUUGAGUGAGGUAGAGGUAAGCGGAAUUCCUAGUGUAGCGGUGAAAUGCGUAGAUAUUAGGAGGAACAUCGGUGGCGAAGGCGGCUUACUGGGCCUUUACUGACGCUGAGGCACGAAAGCGUGGGGAGCAAACAGGAUUAGAUACCCUGGUA